GUCAUCUUGGAUGCCCUUCAGGAACGAUGGCAUCAUAGAGGUCGCCAUAGAGGCAAGGUUGCUGGGCGAACACAUAGUGAGUAGGAGUGGAGAAUGCGAUGCCUAAAGCAGAGCAUGUCAACAAGGUUUCACUAGCUGUCAAACGCCACAAAAUGCCACGUUGAAAGUGAACGGGAUCUGGCUGGAUCAGCGAUAUACUGCUGGGAUCUGUCACUGCAUACUAUUAUAAGGUCGCUACAGCGAAAGUUUUGAUUAGGGGCUCAGUUCUGAGAAUUGGCUAUUCUGUCAACACAUCUUAACCGUCCCCAGACAGCUGUGCUUUUCAGCCGGGCAUCAUAGGAUUAGGUGUUCUGUUCAGUAAUAGUAUUGGUAACUGAUCAACAUUUAUUCAUGUAGCAUGAUUGAAUGUAAUCAUUUGUAUUUGAACUGGAUGCUCUUUCGGUGUUUUUAGGUUUUUAGUCUGUAUGUUUUCAUGUCCCAAAGCAGAAAGGUUACACUCUUUAGUAAUGUAGCAGUUCGGGAUGAUGGGGGACAGUGUUGCAUAAGAGGGAUAAGAUGCACCUGUUGGGCAUCAGUUGUGUGAGGACAGACAGCUCUCCAGAAGUUGUGUGUGGUUAACCCCUUGUCAAGUACAGCCGAAUGGGCAGCACAUCUAAGUUCUUCAGGAUUAGUUGUGAAUGUUGUAAAUCACUGAAUUGCAUAGAAUGUUCUAAAAAAACUUUCAGGUAUGUGCUAUUUAACCCUUCUAUAACUUUUAAAAACAUCUAUACACAUUUACAGUAUAUGCAUCCCUUGGUGGACGUAAGAGACUUCUUUUUGAAACUUUGAACAAUCUUACUUCACUUUUGAACGACAGUGUACAUAUAAGCCUAAGGCUCCAUGGAAUAGAACACAGCCCAUAUUCCAUGAAUAAAUGUCUUCUUUUAAAUUACAUUACAUGCUAUUUAAAAAUCUUUUAAAAUCUGUGCACAAUCCAUAUAGAAGAGACAUUUUUAAAGAAUUGAAAAGACUUACUG